UAUCAUUCAGUUAUUCAUUGUAUUGUUUAAAGUAAUACCAGGCUGAAGUAUCCUGACGUGACGCUUGUAAUACUGAGAGAGAGAGAGAGAGAGAGAGAGAGAGAGAGAGAGAGAGAGAGAGAGAGAGAGAGGGAGAGAGAGAGAGAGAGAGAGAGAGAGAGAGAGAGAGAGAGAGAGA